UUUUAAUUUAAAAUUUCCAUUGCGCAAUUAUUACAUUUGAUGAGCCCUGAUGCUCCUUUGAAGAACUCAGCAGGACCCCUUGGGAAGAUCUAGAAUCACUCACCUAAAAAGAAGCUGCAUGCAGCUGAGCUGUGUUGUCUCAGUGCUCUUCUGGGAAGGAGCAGACUGGAGUGCAAGACCCUUCUUUGUUUCCUUCUUCACUUGCCCAGGAAGUUCUCUGACCACUAAAACCAAGCCAUACCUAACCAAACAAGCCACUGAGGAAUAUCUGGAAAAACCAACUAAGCUGUUAAAAGAGACUGUGCAUUGCAUAAAUGAGAAACCAUAUAGAAGAACAAUGUCUUAUCAUCAUAAGCAAAAGUGGCUCAUUUUCCAUGUAUUGGCAUGCUUUUGAGCUUCCCUCUUGCCUUCCAAUUAUAUGCUUGUCAAAGAUAGAGCCAGAAGGUCACAACCACUUUACUCUCCCUACUGUACAAAUCAGCCAAUGAAAACUUCCACUUCUUAGUGUAUUUCAAUUAUUUACGAUAACCACUUUGAACAAAUACACUUCUAGGCUUGAAUCUGGAAGCUAAAAGGGGAAAAAAAGACAUAGCAACUCAUUCAAAAUGGACAAUACCAGACUGGAAAAUAGAGAGAAGUUCUCCUAGGAUGCCUUUGCUGGGCAGCAAGUCAUGGGGAACAUGAAGCAUCUGACUUUCUUUACACCGUUUGAAAUGAUAAUUUGAAACUAUACCAUCCUUAUACACUUCUUAAUAUUCUAUUUGGAAGUACAGCUGAGACACAUGCAAACACCUGCAUUCUCCCAAGCAAAUAGGGUGGGUUUAACUUGUCAGACUAUAUGUGCUAGACAGCUGAGCAUCUAGCAGCUUCUGAAGCCUUGAUGGGAGCUAAAACAAGCAUCUUGUCAGUUAUGUCUGACCUGAUGUAUAUACUCGCAAGAUGCCUGUGAGAAUUUCUCAAAAGCAAGGGUUGGAGUAAACCACUCCUGUUAGAGAGUGCUGAGCCUGGUGGCCCCAGGGUGGAGAACCUGCCAUGGCUCCCUGCCUUCAGACCAUGAAUUCACCAUAUGCCCCACUCCCAGAGCCAUUCCCUUGGCUCCCAGGCCAGGAGCCUCCAUUAACAGCUGCUCCAUCUUGGUGCUGGUCAGGGUCACGCACUGGCAGCACACCCUCACUGUGCCCGUGCUGGCUCAGCCCUGGCACUCAGCCAUUGUGCUCUUGGGUCUGCAGGUAUGAGCCCUGCAUGGGCCUGUGACACCAGGAUGAGCUGGCCAGGGGGGUACUGGUGUACCUCUAUCCUCCCCUAGCCAAGAGCCCACCAGACUGUUGGCUCAGAGGGACUUAGUGUUGGAUCUUAUAUGGCCAUAAGCCAUAUGGGAUUCUGGAUCAAAAUUCUCUCAUCAGAAGUCAGUUGUAAUAAACUCUGUAAUGCCAAAGAAUGCCACUGAAAAUGAACCAGAGAAGAAAUUCUUAUGAACCUCUCAAAGAUAUACUGAAUUUUUAAAGAAGAAUGAACAUGUUUCCAUAGAAGGAAGAAAGUGUCAGGUCCUGUGAAGCUCUCCAGGACAGAACAGGUUGUAGUUAAACAGCUCUUCUCUCCUGAGCAGCAAAACAGAGUAGAAGGGCUAUUCAUCAAAGUAGGGACACAGUGUUUUGGACACAGUAUUCCAGACAAAAAAUGUAGCAGAUGUGUUCAGUUCCUGGGAAAGCCCUCGGUCCUCAUUGGCUUUGGAAGGACACACUUACAAAGAAAAAAACCCAAAGUGUACAGUCCAGCUAAGAAGAACCUCCUCCCUAGUGCCUGUCUGCAAACCACUGAUGGGUUGAGUGGACAUUCCCAGGGUGACAUGGGCACAGGAGUCCCCACACGCCUUCAUGGAGCUCUGACCCAAUUUGAACCUGCAGGAGACCUGCAUGGGAAUGGUUUGAAGAGAUGGUGGAAUUUUUGUUUGACCUUGUUACAGGGGAUGUGCAUGCUGUGCCCAGGGGGUACCCACAGCACCUGGCUAGCUAGCAUGUGCUCCAGGAUUGGGUACAGAAUCCUGAACAAAGAUAAAGGGCACAAAGAAGGGAGUUUCACCCACUCCAUGUUCUCAGUUUAGUGCUGGUCAAGGUUGGACUCCAUGUCUCACAUGUUUUCUUCAAAUUAGAUACAUGUACAGAUGAUGAGGCUUGUCUCAUUGUGAGGGUUGUUUAUGCAAAUUGCUGGACUUGGUUUUUUCAUGUUUUAUCUCCUCCCAUAUGAUUACAUGGUCAGGAUCUGCAUUUACGGUUGGGUUUUUUGGGGAAAUAUUGAGGAAUAUUCAACUCCUCCUUUUGAACUGGCUUGCUCUGAAACAACUCCCAGAAAAAUUCUUGUCAGGAGGAGCAUGGUGUUCUCCAUGGUGCUCUGAGCAGAGCGGCUCCCUGCCUGCCUGCCUGCCCAUGGGGAUCUGUGCCUUUCACUGGGGCCGUCCUGCUGGGCCUUUGUCCUUCUCACUGGCAACACUCUGGGAAAUUGAAAAAGGACUGUUUAUCCCCUUGCUCAUUUAAAUGCAGACAGACUGAUGCCGUGGCUAUUUAAAGUAAGGGCAGUCAGCAGAGCAGAUGCUUAGAAUGUGAGUGCUGGAUUAUCAUUAAAAGUUAUGGUCUAUGAUUAAAAUAUAUUUUUCCUAUGGGAAACUGCAGCCCUCUGGGACUUUUUGGCUUAUUAAGAAAGUUUUGAGCCACCAUGUCUCUCUAGCAGAGAUAAAAUAAUGCAAACUUGCUACUGAGGCCAGGAGCAUGUUGUUCUCAUUCCCGCUGCUGUUUCUGGAUCUUCAAACUAUUGUGUUUUGAUUCUUGUAACUAGUUGACUUUCAGUGGAGAGAAUGAAGUAGCUUAUGUUCUUGUAUCUUGAGAUCUUAAUUUCUUGUAAGUACCUACAGGUACUCUUGA